GAUGAACGCUAGCGGCAGGCUUAAUACAUGCAAGUCGAGGGGCAGCGGGGGUAGCAAUACCUGCCGGCGACCGGCAAACGGGUGCGGAACACGUACACAACCUUCCUUUAAGUGGGGGAUAGCCCAGAGAAAUUUGGAUUAAUACCCCGUAAGAUAAUAGAGUGGCAUCACUUUGUUAUUAAAGCUCCGGCGCUUGAAGAUGGGUGUGCGUCUGAUUAGGUAGUUGGUAGGGGUAACGGCCCACCAAGCCACGAUCAGUAACUGGUGUGAGAGCACGACCAGUCACACGGGCACUGAGACACGGGCCCGACUCCUACGGGAGGCAGCAGUAAGGAUAUUGGUCAAUGGACGCAAGUCUGAACCAGCCAUGCCGCGUGGA
rnacentral:rRNA from 1 species